UACAGAGGGUGCGAGCGUUGUCCGGAAUUACUGGGCGUAAAGGGCGCGUAGGCGGCCUGAUAAGUCGGGGGUGAAAGUCAGCGGCUCAACCGCUGGACUGCCUUCGAGACUGUCGGGCUUGAGCAUGGUAGAGGCUGGCGGAAUUCCGGGUGUAGCGGUGGAAUGCGUAGAGAUCCGGAAGAACACCGGUGGCGAAGGCGGCCUGCUGGGCAGUAGCUGACACUGAGGCGCGACAGCGAGGGGAGCAAACAGG
rnacentral:rRNA from 1 species